rnacentral:lncRNA from 1 species
AUGCGAGGGAAACGAGCUACAAGCCCCUAUUUGAUAGGGGACAAACCGAUGGUAAAUCUCCUUGAGGUGAUAUACCAUUUAAGGGGCCUUUUAAGGGUAUGGAGCCGGCGUCGAUCGUAUAGCAAGAAGAAAAUAGGAUACCUAUUCGAUCCUAACAUUCAGCAGAGGGUACGCAACACCAGUAGUAAUGCUGCGACGGCGACCUCUAGUUUCGGCCCUCCCCGGGCCUUGAAUUCUGUCGUCGAUGUGGAGAAUAGGGGAUUACCCUAG